UGAAUUCUGUAGCAAGCCAUUGACUUGAACCCCAACAUCUGAUCCGAAACCCGAAGGUUCAGAAGAAUGACAAAAUGUCCUCACGUUGGAAGCAAGGUGAUGUUCAAACCCAUCCAUUAGCUAUUCUGUGGGCCGGAACUGGAAUCCAAAGAAGGCUCUCCACACAGUAAGAGCCCGAUUGCUCCUCCUGGUACUCAGAGAACUGCUUCCUCUCCCCUGCUCCGAGUUCCUCACGUGACCUCCCGGAACUGGAGUUCCUGGCGGUCUCCUGAGUCCUCCCUCAUUCCGUGCCCUCUUUUCAUUCCAUAGCCUUCCAAUGAAUUUCUAACCUCAGUGCCAUGUCUCCACCAUGCAGAUCAGGCCGUUUGGCCCCAGCCAGACUAACCUCCCUCCUCCACACAGGGCCUUUUGGAGCUCCCUGCCAUGCUGGAAUAGUCUCCGUGGACCUGGGACAACAAGAAAGCUGUCUUCUGGGGGUUCCUGUGAACCUUUCAGAACUCACAACACCCCCCCCCUUAUAGGCCUGAGGUGCUGCCCUCGGCUUGCUAUUCUGCUGUCCUCUAGGCUCAGGUUGUCGCUUGUGAUUUGCCUGCCUGCACGUCUGGAAGGCAGAGGAGUGUUUGAGGGCUCAGCAUCUCCUUGGCUCAUCCUGACUGGGUUCUAAUCCUUGGCAUUUGAGCUGUUUAUGGAAAUGGUCACAGUCAAACGUGGUCCCAUCCCACUGCUGUUUGUCACACUGGGCAAGAAGAGGUCCCGGGACCUGUUGCAAUAGUAGCUGGAGACGCAGCUCCCGCUAAUGCUCUCAGGGACACCUGACAAUUCUCAGGUUACAAGACAUCCGUGCUUUCUCCCAAUUCACAAACUGUCAAGAGGGGUACGCCAGCUGCCUGGUAACUCUACUGUCACCGCCACGUGUACAGAUUCCCUUAACAUCCGGAUGACUGUGGAUACUAGUUAGCAGUCCUAAUUUUGAUGCGCACUGUAACCAGCUACCUCACACUGCUCCUGGCAUGCCUACUCUUCCACGGUGGACUAUAUCCCUUCCUUCUUAGAUGAUCCAACAAGGCUCUUGUGGCUUCAGGAUACAGCGAGGAGGAGGAGGACAUUGGAAGAGGAGCCACAUUGGUGAACAGAGAACAGUGAGAGCAGGGAGGAGCAGCAGCCAUUGGGGACGACUCUCCAAAUGCCUAGCACGCCAGGCCUGGGGUGCAGAAGAAACUCAUCAACGGCAGAACUCGACUUCUCACACUUCAGGGGGAAAUGUCAAUCACAGCUCAGGAGGGUAAUGUCAUGGCAUAUUUGAGAUGGUUCAUAGAUGGCACCUCCUCAUUGGAUCCUCCCAGGGGCAAAGGAGCAGUGGGUCUCUCCCAGCCUUUUUUCACAAGUGUGCUGAUGUCACUUCUGGGGGCUCUAGACUCGUGACCUCAAUGUCCCUGCCCUAAUGCCAUCACGAUGAGCAUGUCUCAUUGCAUAUGAACUUCGUGUGUCUCAUUACAUAUGGCUCAUAACAUACAUACAUUGGAUGACGCUAACAUCAGACCACAUGUGUUGGUAAUACUGACUGUCACCUUGACAGGUUCUGGGGUAACCUAGGAGAUGAACCUUGUACUGGCUGGUUCUGUAUGUCAACUCAACACAAGCUGCAGUUAUCA
rnacentral:sRNA from 1 species